rnacentral:rRNA from 1 species
UACGGGAGGGAGCUAGCGUUGUUCGGAAUUACUGGGCGUAAAGCGCGCGUAGGCGGCUUUGUAAGUUAGAGGUGAAAGCCCGGGGCUCAACUCCGGAAUUGCCUUUAAGACUGCAUCGCUUGAACGUCGGAGAGGUGAGUGGAAUUCCGAGUGUAGAGGUGAAAUUCGUAGAUAUUCGGAAGAACACCAGUGGCGAAGGCGGCUCACUGGACGACUGUUGACGCUGAGGUGCGAAAGCGUGGGGAGCAAACAGG